GCACGGUGGUGCAGUUGGUAGCACUGUUGCAGCAAGAAGGACAUGGGUUUGACUCCCAGCCGUGGGUCU